CCUACGGGAGGCAGCAGUGGGGAAUAUUGGGCAAUGGGCGCAAGCCUGACCCAGCAACGCCGCGUGAAGGAGGAAGGCUUUCGGGUUGUAAACUUCUUUUAAGGGGGAAGAGCAGAAGACGGUACCCCUUGAAUAAGCCACGGCUAACUACGUGCCAGCAGCCGCGGUAAUACGUAGGUGGCAAGCGUUGUCCGGAUUUACUGGGUGUAAAGGGCGUGCAGCCGGAGAGACAAGUCAGAUGUGAAAUCCACGGGCUCAACCCGUGAACUGCAUUUGAAACUGUUUCCCUUGAGUGUCGGAGAGGUAAUCGGAAUUCCUUGUGUAGCGGUGAAAUGCGUAGAUAUAAGGAAGAACACCAGUGGCGAAGGCGGAUUACUGGACGAUAACUGACGGUGAGGCGCGAAAGCGUGGGGAGCAAACAGGAUUAGAUACCCCUGUAGUC
rnacentral:rRNA from 1 species